AGAGUUUGAUCAUGGCUCAGGACGAACGCUGGCGGCGUGCCUAACACAUGCAAGUCGAGCGGAGAAUGCGGACAUGUUUACAUAGAAGCAUUCUUAGCGGCGGACGGGUGAGUAACACGUGGGUAACCUGCCUCAAAGAGGGGGAUAGCCUUCCGAAAGGAAGAUUAAUACCGCAUAAGCCUGCAAUACCGCAUGGUACAGCAGGAAAAGGAGCAAUCCGCUUUGAGAUGGACCCGCGGCGCAUUAGCUAGUUGGUGAGGUAACGGCUCACCAAGGCGACGAUGCGUAGCCGACCUGAGAGGGUGAUCGGCCACAUUGGAACUGAGACACGGUCCAGACUCCUACGGGAGGCAGCAGUGGGGAAUAUUGCACAAUGGGCGAAAGCCUGAUGCAGCAACGCCGCGUGAAUGAUGAAGGCCUUCGGGUCGUAAAGUUCUUUGAUCAGGGAUGAUAAUGACAGUACCUGAAAAACAAGCCACGGCUAACUACGUGCCAGCAGCCGCGGUAAUACGUAGGUGGCGAGCGUUGUCCGGAAUUACUGGGCGUAAAGGAUGCGUAGGUGGAUACUUAAGUGGGAUGUGAAAUCCCCGGGCUCAACCCGGGAACUGCAUUCCAAACUGGGUAUCUAGAGUGCAGGAGAGGAAAGCGGAAUUCCUAGUGUAGCGGUGAAAUGCGUAGAUAUUAGGAGGAACACCAGUGGCGAAGGCGGCUUUCUGGACUGUAACUGACACUGAGGCAUGAAAGCGUGGGUAGCAAACAGGAUUAGAUACCCUGGUAGUCCACGCCGUAAACGAUGGGUACUAGGUGUAGGAGGUAUCGACCCCUUCUGUGCCGUCGUUAACACAAUAAGUACCCCGCCUGGGGAGUACGGUCGCAAGACUAAAACUCAAAUGAAUUGACGG
rnacentral:rRNA from 1 species